rnacentral:rRNA from 1 species
UACAGAGGGUGCAAGCGUUAUCCGGAUUUAUUGGGCGUAAAGCGUUUCGUAGGCUUUUUGGUAAGUUACUUUUCAAAGACCACGGCUCAACCGGGGGAAGGGGAGUAAUACUGCCAGGAUUGAAAGGUGAUGGGGCUUCUGGAACUGAUGGUGUAGUAGUGAAAUACGUUGAUAUCAUCAGGAACUCCAAGGGCGAAGGCAGGAAGCUAAUCAUUUUUUGACGCUGAGGAACGACAGCUAGGGGA